rnacentral:rRNA from 1 species
UUUUAAAUUUAGAGUUUGAUCCUGGCUCAGGACGAACGCUGGCGGCGUGCUUAACACAUGCAAGUCGAGCGAUGAAGCUUCCUUCGGGAAGUGGAUUAGCGGCGGACGGGUGAGUAACACGUGGGUAACCUACCUCAAAGUGGGGGAUAGCCUCCCGAAAGGGAGAUUAAUACCGCAUAAUAUAAGAAAAUCGCAUGAUUAUCUUAUCAAAGAUUUAUCGCUUUGAGAUGGACC